UUGAACGCUGGCGGCAUGCUUUACCCCUGCAAGUCGCACGGCAGCGCGGGCUUCGGCCUGGCGGCGAGUGGCGAACGGGUGAGUAAUGCAUCGGAACGUGCCCAGUAGUGGGGGAUAGCCCGGCGAAAGCCGGAUUAAUACCGCAUACGACCUGAGGGUGAAAGCGGGGGACCGAAAGGCCUCGCGCUAUUGGAGCGGCCGAUGUCGGAUUAGCUAGUUGGUGGGGUAAAGGCUUACCAAGGCGACGAUCCGUAGCUGGUCUGAGAGGACGACCAGCCACACUGGGACUGAGACACGGCCCAGACUCCUACGGGAGGCAGCAGUGGGGAAUUUUGGACAAUGGGGGCAACCCUGAUCCAGCCAUGCCGCGUGCGGGAAGAAGGCCUUCGGGUUGUAAACCGCUUUUGUUCGGGAAGAAAUCCUCUGGGCUAAUACCCCGGGGGGAUGACGGUACCGGAAGAAUAAGCACCGGCUAACUACGUG
rnacentral:rRNA from 1 species